CCUACGGGUGGCUGCAGUGAGGAAUAUUGGUCAAUGGCCGAGAGGCUGAACCAGCCAAGUCGCGUGAGGGAAGAAUGUCCUAUGGAUUGUAAACCUCUUUUGUCAGGGAGCAAAGUCACCCACGUGUGGGUGUUGGAGAGUACCUGAAGAAAAAGCAUCGGCUAACUCCGUGCCAGCAGCCGCGGUAAUACGGAGGAUGCGAGCGUUAUCCGGAUUUAUUGGGUUUAAAGGGUGCGUAGGCGGAUUUUUAAGUCAGCGGUAAAAUGUCCGGGCUCAACCCGGGCCGGCCGUUGAAACUGGGGAUCUUGAGUGGGCGAGAAGUAUGCGGAAUGCGUGGUGUAGCGGUGAAAUGCAUAGAUAUCACGCAGAACUCCGAUUGCGAAGGCAGCAUACCGGCGCCCGACUGACGCUGAGGCACGAAAGCGUGGGGAUCGAACAGGAUUAGAUACCCGGGUAGUC
rnacentral:rRNA from 1 species